AGCCUAAACACCCCUAAAAAAGUGCAUGGCAAUAAUAAAACCUUAGGAGAAGUAAGCUCUCUAUCAGAGCAUCUCCUAAGGUUGUGCGUCGAAAGGUGUGCAGGUGGUGAAAGCCAUC
rnacentral:sRNA from 1 species